AACGCGAAGAACCUUACCAAGUCUUGACAUCCUUUUGACCGGUCGGUAAUGCGACCUUCUCUUCGGAGCAAAAGUGACAGGUGGUGCAUGGUUGUCGUCAGCUCGUGUCGUGAGAUGUUGGGUUAAGUCCCGCAACGAGCGCAACCCUUAUCUUUAGUAGCCAGCAUUUUAAGAUGGGCACUCUAGAGAGACUGCCAGGGAUAACCUGGAGGAAGGUGGGGAUGACGUCAAAUCAUCAUGCCCCUUAUGACUUGGGGCUACACACGUGCUACAAUGGCGUAAACAAAGAGAAGCAAGACUGUGAAGUGGAGCAAAUCUCAAAAAUAACGUCUCAGUUCGGAUUGUAGUCUGCAACUCGACUACAUGAAGUCUGGAAUCGCUAGUAAUCGCGAGUC
rnacentral:rRNA from 1 species